rnacentral:tRNA from 1 species
UCCCUUGUGGCUUAGCUGGUAAAGAACCUGCCUGCAAUGCGGGAGACCUGGGUUCAAUCCCUGGGUUGGGAA